rnacentral:rRNA from 1 species
CCCUUAGAUGCUCUGGGCCGCACGCGCGCUACACUGGUCGAUGCAACGAGUUUCUUUCCUUGGCCGACAGGCCUGGGCAAUCUUUGAACAUCGAUCGUGAUCGGGAUAGAUUCUUGUAAUUUUUGAUCUUAAACGAGGAAUUCCUAGUAAACGCAAGUCAUCGGCUUGCAUUGAUUACGUCCCUGCCCUUUGUACACUCCGCCCGUCGCACCUACCGAUUGAAUGGUCCGGUGAAAUCUCCGGACUGGCGUGAGUCGGAGCAAUCUGACAAACACCGGAAAGUUGAUUAAACCUUACCAUUUAGAGGAAGGUGAAGCCGUAACA